CACUAUGCAUGCGAUGUGUAUGUAAUGUAUUUGAAUUCAGAGUGAAAAAAGCCGUUGCAUGAAGUACAUCCUCCUAAAUACUCUUGUUUUCUCCUGCAAAUUUACAAUAUGGGCAUCCUUUUUUAACAUCUUUCGUCAAAGAAGUGGAUUCAAAGCACAUUGUCGCCUCAGUAUAUUGAUGUGAAACCAUGCAGAAAAUGCUACUCUCUCUCAACCUUGUGGAUGUUCCCUACUUCCCUAAGGAUCAGCAGCCUCUUGAAACAGUUGAAGCCAUUAUCGAAUUCCUUGCGUCUAUGUUCCCUGGAUCUGAAAGCAGUGCAUAAUGCCAGAGAUUCCACCCAAAAGCCAACCCAUGAGUCCAAGCUGAAGAGGAAUAUUUCCAAAUCGAUGGCUCCACUAAUCUGAUUGAAUUCCUUGCGUCUAUGUUCCCUGGAUCUGAAAGCAGUGCAUAAUGCCAGAGAUUCCACCCAAAAGCUAACCCAUGAGUCCAAGCUGAAGAGGAAUAUUUCCAAGAUUACAUGUAGAUCUACACUCACCCGAUAGUUUAACUGCUAGAAAAAAGGUUAUUUUUUUACUUCAUUAAAAUUUAUAGAGUAAGAGAGAUUGGGGGAGGGGAGAGGUGAGGUGUAGCCACAAACCUGAAUGGCUAAGCUGUGGAACUGAAAUUCCCAUUCAUGUCACUUACAAUUUUAAUGAAUUACAGGG
rnacentral:lncRNA from 1 species